AGAGUGAACGCUGGCGGCAGGCCUAACACAUGCAAGUCGAACGGCAGCACAGGAGAGCUUGCUCUCUGGGUGGCGAGUGGCGGACGGGUGAGGAAUACGUCGGAAUCUGCCUAUUUGUGGGGGAUAACCUCGGGAAACCGGACUAAUACCGCAUACGACCUACGGGUGAAAGCGGAGGACCUUCGGGCUUCGCGCAGAUAGAUGAGCCGACGUCGGAUUAGCUAGUUGCGGGUAAAGCCACAAGGCGACGAUCCGUAGCUGGUCUGAGAGGAUGAUCAGCCACACUGGAACUGAGACACGGUCCAGACUCUACGGAGGCAGCAGUGGGAAUAUUGGACAAUGGGCGCAAGCCUGAUCCAGCCAUGCCGCGUGUGUGAAGAAGGCCUUACGGUUGUAAAGCUACGUUUUUGUUUAGGGAAGAAAGACACGUGGUUAAUAACCCUGGUGUCAUUAGACGGUAACCCAAAGAAUAAGCAACCGGCUAACUCGU
rnacentral:rRNA from 1 species